AGUUGUUGCAGUUAAAAAGCUCGUAGUUGGACCUUGGGCAGGAGGCACGGGUUGGCCGAAUGGCUCGACUCGGGUCUCCGGCCUCUAUGGGUGGUCGUGCCUUUGGUACGGUUCGCCCGGGUUACUGUGAAGAAAUUAGAGUGUUUAAAGCAGGCGAUUGCUUGGAUACAUCAGCAUGGAAUAACAAGAUAGGACCUGGUUCCACUUGUUGGUUUGGGGGCUUUGGUAAUGAUUAAUAGGGCCAGUUGGGGGCAUUAGUAUUCAGUAGUCAGAGGUGAAAUUCUUGGAUUUGCUGAAGACUAACUAGUGCGAAAGCAUUUGCCAAGGAUGUUUUCAUUAAUCAAGAACGAAAGUUAGGGGAUCGAGGACGAUCAGAUACCGUCGUAGUCUUAACUAUAAACGAUGCCGACUCGGGAUCGGCAGACGUCGUUAGCGACACUGUCGGCACCGUGUGAGAAAUCAAAGUUUUUGGGUUCUGGGGGGAGUAUGGUCGCAAGGCUGAAACUUAAAGGAAUUGACGGAAGGGCACCACCAGGAGUGGAGCCUGCGGCUUAAUUUGACUCAACACGGGAAAACUCACCAGGUCCGGACAUAGUAAGGAUUGACAGAUUGAGAGCUCUUUCUUGAUUCUGUG
rnacentral:rRNA from 1 species